GCGGAAUGGCCCUCGUGCCCUAUGAGGAGACCACGGAAUUUGGGUUGCAGAAAUUCCACAAGCCUCUUGCAACUUUUUCCUUUGCAAACCACACGAUCCAGAUCCGGCAGGACUGGAGACACCUGGGAGUCGCAGCGGUGGUUUGGGAUGCGGUGCUCAUGUGACUAUCACGGAUCGAAAAGUAGCAUUAGAAUUUCUUAAAUCAAACGUUCAAGCCAACUUACCUCCUCAUAUCCAAACUAAAACUGUUGUUAAGGAGCUGACUUGGGGACAAAAUUUGGGGAGUUUUUCUCCUGGAGAAUUUGACCUGAUACUUGGUGCUGAUAUCAUAUAUUUAGAAGAAACAUUCACAGAUCUUCUUCAGACACUGGAACAUCUCUGUAGCAAUCACUCUGUGAUUCUUUUAGCAUGCCGAAUUCGCUAUGAACGGGAUAACAACUUCUUAGCAAUGCUGGAGAGGCAAUUUACUGUGAGAAAGGUUCACUACGAUCCUGAAAAAGAUGUACAUAUUUACGAAGCACAGAAGAGAAACCAGAAGGAGGACUUAUAAUUGGCUAUAAUUUAUAAGAAUGUUGUCAUUGAGUGUGUCACUUAAGGUCUUAGACUGCAAAUCUAACCAUAUUUAAUGAAAUGUCUUACUGUACAAAAAGUCUAAGCCAAAGGUUCUCAGGGGAGAAAGCACAUGUGCAGUUUUAAAACAAAGCAGUGCUUUGUCCCAUUGCUGUGAUUUUUAGUCAGACUUUACUCAGUCUGAAAUGCAAUUAACAUUAAAGGAUUAAGUGUGAGAUUUCGAUUUAUGCUAUUUGUGUAUCCCAUACUCCUCCCUUUUAAUAAACAGUUUCCACUGAUGAUAUGAAGGGCCGGUAUAA
rnacentral:lncRNA from 1 species